rnacentral:rRNA from 1 species
AUUGAACGCUGGCGGCAGGCCUAACACAUGCAAGUCGAGCGAGCGGCGGACGGGUGAGUAAUGUAUGGGGAUCUGCCCGAGAGCGGGCGAUAACUACUGGAAACGGUGGCUAAUACCGCAUACCAUCGCCUGUACCCAUAUGGGAUUAGCUAGGAGGUGGGGUAAAGGCACACCUAGGCGACGAUCUCUAGCUGGUCUGAGAGGAUGAUCAGCCACACUGGGAAUGAGACACGGCCCAGACUCCUACGGGAGGCAGCAGUGGGGAAUAUUGCACAAUGGGCGCAAGCCUGAUGCAGCCAUGACGCGUGUAUGAAGAAGGCCUUAGGGUUGUAAAGUACUUUCAGCGGGGAGGCGUUACCCGCAGAAGAAGCACCGGCUAACUACGUGCCAGCAGCCGCGGUAAUAC